rnacentral:rRNA from 1 species
AGAGUUUGAUCCUGGCUCAGGAUGAACGCUAGCGGCAGGCUUAAUACAUGCAAGUCGAGGGGCAGCAUGAGUGUAGCAAUACAUUUGAUGGCGACCGGCAAACGGGUGCGGAACACGUACGCAACUUUCCUCUAAGCGGGGCAUAGCUCGGAGAAAUCCGGAUUAAUACCCCAUAACAUUGCAGAUAGGCAUCUAUCAACAAUUAAAGAUUUAUCACUUAGAGAUGGGCGUGCGGCUGAUUAGGUAGUUGGCGGGGUAACGGCCCACCAAGCCUGCGAUCAGUAACUGGUGUGAGAGCACGACCAGUCACACGGGCACUGAGACACGGGCCCGACUCCUACGGGAGGCAGCAGUAAGGAAUAUUGGUCAAUGGACGAAAGUCUGAACCAGCCAUGCCGCGUGGAGGAUGAAGGCCCUCUGGGUUGUAAACUUCUUUUAUCUGGGACGAAAAAGGGACUUUCUAGUUCAACUGACGGUACCAGAGGAAUAAGCACCGGCUAACUCCGUGCCAGCAGCCGCGGUAAUACGGAGGGUGCAAGCGUUAUCCGGAUUCACUGGGUUUAAAGGGUGCGUAGGUGGGCAGGUAAGUCAGUGGUGAAAUCUCUGGGC